CCUUUCUGACCUCUUGCUUUGAUUGCUUUGAGUUUAGUGGUUCUAGUUUGUUCUGUUGUCCUUGCUUCGUGGAGGGCUGUCUGUUGUAUGCUUCAUCAGUUUGUUCUUCUAUUACUUUAUCAGAAGGGCUGUUUCAUAAAUCAACAUAAACAGAUUAGUAAAUUCUUAUGGAGUAAUCCUACUUGCUAUAUUAUCACUUAACUUCUGUGCCGUAGAUUUUGUGAGCAUCACCUAACCCUUAAAAAUGGUAUACAAAUUCUUGUUAUCAGCAUCUUGGUAAAAGUGAGUUCAGUUACAUUUUGGGAAAUCUUUAGCAAGUAAUCACUAAGGGCACAACUCCGGAGUAAACGUUUACCAAUUUCUUAACUUGUAAGUGAUACAGUGGAGACACGUGAAUCAACUGCAUCAAGUCAACUACGCGAAAAAAUGCAGUUGAAUCAACUGAACGAGAAAACACAUCAACGGUAUCUGCACCGUUUACUAGUUUCUUAUGGGGUAAAUGUGCACUACUUAGCAAAGCACGUCAUGAAAUACCUAACAUGCAUAUACUGUUUUUUCAGCAAGAAUAAAACGUUGGUGAAGCAAGCUUUCCCUUGGCUAAAGUUAAGUUACCUUGCUACCAUCUUUCCAGAUUCCUUCUCAAUAUUUUGCAUCCUGCAUACGUUUGAGUAGAAUGUGCUUUUCUGGAGCAACUCUUGAUGUGUCCCGGUCUGUGCCACACUUCCAUUCUCUACGACAACAAUGGUGUCAGCAUUUACAAUUGUGGACAUCCUGUGGGCUAUCAGGAUAACUGUCCUUCCAUGCAUGGCUCUCUCAAGUGCAUCCUGCACUAGCUUUUCUGACUCUGAAUCAAGGGCACUUGUCGCUUCAUCCAGAAGGAGAAUUGGUGGAUCCUUCAGCAUUGCCCUUGCAAUAGCUACUCUUUGUUUCUGGCCUCCUGACAACUGCACACCUCUUUCUCCUACCUGAUGAACCAAGAUGUUGUAAGGAACAAGGGGAGUUCUUUCAAAAAAACUUGAUAUACAUAAUGAACUAUUACAGAACCACCCAUGAUUCUCCAACAAGAUCAAGUUCUGUCUAUUAUAUAUUUUUGAACUUCUAAUUAUAAUAUAUCGACUACUCAUUGUACUUUAUUCUUGGAAUUUUCUUGAUCAUAAGAUAACAGGAGUUUUAUGAUUUAUCUUGAACUUUCAAAUGGUUCCUUGGAAUAGGCAUUCAUUGCGCUUAGUUUACUAACUGUACAACUAAAAAGGAUUUGUUGUGAUUUUUUUUUCUACUAACCUCUACUUCUGUUGUUCUGGCUUCCAUUGCAAGUUGUAUGCACAUUUGAUUUUCAGCCAAAGCUCUGUGUGUCUUUCAUGUUUAAAUUUGGAAAUUCAUAUGCGGUAUUACUAUUGGAAGGUCAUUUGCAUACUACUCAUUAUUAUCUAUUUACUUUACCAGCCAAUUCCGUUGUAAUAUACUGCAUCCGAUCCAUAUUAAUUGUCGCUGACUUAGCUGAUUUAGUACAAAGUCAGCGACAAUUGAUAUGGAUCGGAGGGAGUAAAAUUAUUGACAGAACGUUGUUGACAAAGUGCCAACUAUGAGUCUGAUAAAAGGCAAUGCAAUUGGCAUGAUCAUAAUAGUGCCACGUUAUUGUCAAAGCGCCAAUCACAAGUCUGAUGAAAAAAGAAAAACUAUUGUCACUGUAAUAGUAUCACAAUGUUUUUGUUUUAACUUUCAAUGGUCUUAACCUUUUCGUGUCCUAAUAAAAACCAUAAAGGAAGACAAUUCAUGUUUAAGUGCAGAACGUAGCUAGCCUUCAGUCAAAUAUACAGAAUUACCCUUUUCUUGCAUUCCUUGCUGAACACAUAUGUACCUCUGUUAAGUAUUCAUUGGGAAGUUUAGAUAUGAAUGAAUGCACAUUAGCUGUUGUUGCUGCUUCAAUUAUCUCUUCAUCAGUUGCAUCCAUUUUACCAAUCCUUAAGUUGUCCUUGAUAGUACCAGAAAACAGCGAUGGCUCCUGAGAUACUGAAGCUAUAUUUCUCCGCAGGGAUUUCAGAUCUAGUUUCUUAAUACUGUGGCCAUCAAUGAAUAUGUCACCUGCAACAUUAUGUCUCAUCACUGACUGAAAUAUUAUGACUAGUUUAGCUUGCAAGUACAUAGGCAUUUUUAUUGAUGACAGCCAAAUUCUAACCUUAAUUCUGACAUAGAACUUAAUAAUAUAUACUUAUUGACUUAGAGCACACAUACAGUUGCACCAGGCAAAUGAUGGAAGCCUACCUGAGGUUGGAUCAUAGAACCUUUGAAGUAGUGAAAUAACUGUGCUCUUCCCAGAGCCGCUGCUUCCUACCAGAGCAACAACUUUGCCUGCGGGGAUUGACAGUGAGAAUCCUUGGAGAAUUGGCUUAUCCUGGCGGGAGGGAUAGGCGAAAUGCACCCCAUGCAGUUUGAUCUCUCCAUAAACCUUUUCUAAUAUCGCUCCACCUUUUGUGUAACUUAUGGAUGGAUUCCUUCUGAUCACCUUGAAGACCUCUUUUCCUGCAGCCUUUGCUUGAUUAAAGGUCUGAAGAUCUGGUGCAGCGUAGGUAAUUGAUCUGCACUCCAUGCGGUGAAAUCAGUCAAGUCUAUUGAUUAUAAUUCAUGGAAAAGGAAAGAAUAUGCAUGCAUACUACCUAUGUACCUUGCAAAAAAUCAUAUUUGAAUGAAAAUUGUUUAGGCGAUUGAAGCAAUCAGAUAGGGUGUAGUUUUAUUACAUUGCGCCAAAGAGGAUGCUCAUGAUGGCAGCUAUCGUGCCACCUCCUGUUGCUGUCCGGUUGCUUACUGCAACUGCCCCAAUCCAAACCAUCAGUGCCCAUGAACAAAAGGUCACUGUUUGGAACAAGCCCAGCCCUAUUCCCUUUAUCAUCGCCUCCUUCUUGCUUAAUUUGUAUUGAUUGUCUGUGCACUGCACAAAGGAUUUCAUGGCCCAGUUCUCUCCGGCAAAGGAGAAGACAGUCUUGAUAUGUGACAAAGUCUGCCCACAAAUGCACACAAGGAUUACAUAGUUAAUUUUUUUUCUAAUAACAUUUUUAUUUUUUAUAUUUCUGUUUAUUCAAAUAACCUAGCUUCAGGUACGGAGCGUUGACUCAUCUACGUGGUUACCUGUUCUACGACAGAUGUUGCUUGUGAGACAAUAGCAUUGCGUGACAAUGAUAUGACAUUCAUCUUUUUUGUGUAUGUGGCUCCAAUAGCGAGGAUCAGAGGAAUGACCAGGAAGGAGAGCAUCGCGACUUCCCAGCAGCUGGCAAAUGCAAUUAUUAUACCAGCAAAGAAAGUGGAGAAGCUUGCGACGAAAUGACCGAGCUGCAGAAAUUGAGCUCAGAUGCAACUUCUCCACAGGACUUUAGAAAUCAUACAGUUAUUGUUCGAUAUGAUUGUGAAAUGCAUUACCUUCUCACCAAUUGCAUCUUGUAUGACAUUCAUGUGGUUGGUUACCCCGGUGAUGAUGUUUGCAGUGGACAAGUCUGUAUCGAAGGCCCCAACCUCUUGAUUAAGGACUGAUCUCAGAUAUUCCAGCCGCAUGCGUGCUAACUGCCUCUCACUCGAGUAUAUCCAGCAGGAGAUCUCUGCAGCCAGUUUAUCAGGGGAAAUACUGCAGAUAAAAACUCGAGGUUGUCGAUGUCUAGACUGUCCGCAACCAGCUCGGGGCGUUUGUUUGCACCUGCACCAGUUUGCUGAUGCACCUGUGUCCAAGAAGGAGCGUCCAAAGAGAUAGAAUGCAAAGCGAGCAUGAAAUUCUAUGUGUUAUCAGAACUCAUGUGCUCAUUUCUCAUCAAAUUUUGGCCGAAGCUAACAUCUGCGCCGUACCGCAUUGUGCGGGCGUUCGGCACGGCAGCUGGGCGGUUUGUUCUCGGAUUUUGGGGGCGAAAGCGCGUAUGUCUUGCAGCUAGCUUUUCGAGAUGCAAUCCAGAAGGCCGACUGGAAGCUACAGAGGAAACAAGUCUUGGGCAAGCAUGUGUUGUUUCGGCAGUUAUUUGUUUCUUUCCCAGGGGAGUGCAGGCGGAUUAGACCUUUCUAAACACGUCAUCGUCCAUGACAUUUUCACUGAUGGGAUAAGCGGAGAAUAUCCGAGUGACGUCCUGAAGACGCCAAGAGUGACCGGUUCAAAUGCCCUGUUAAGAAUUCAGAUUGCCGUCUCAUGCGUCUGUCUGUAUUCCAAGUUCUCGUCUCCGCUCUGCAUGAUUUUGUCUGCAAAUUUACCCGUAGCCACUAUAUGAUGGAGUUAUGUGGGCUUAUGUGUAGAUUCUCUUAUUAUAACCAGAAAGAGAGCGAUGUAACGAUCUGGAAAGAAUUUGUCACCAUAUGAUGGUGUUUAUUAGGAGCGACUGUCUGUUUACAGGCCUGA